rnacentral:rRNA from 1 species
UACGUAGGGGGCUAGCGUUGUCCGGAUUUAUUGGGCGUAAAGAGCGUGUAGGCGGCCAGGUAGGUCCGUUGUGAAAACUCGAGGCUCAACCUCGAGACGCCGGUGGAAACCGUAAGGCUAGAGUCCGGAAGAGGAGAGUGGAAUUCCUGGUGUAGCGGUGAAAUGCGCAGAUAUCAGGAAGAACACCCGUGGCUAAGGCGGCUCUCUAGUACGGUACUGACGCUGAGACGCGAAAGCGUGGGGAGCAAACAGG